UGACAUGUCUGGAAUGCCGAAGAGAUUUGGCAGUGCUCGCAAGAGAACCAGAACACAGGUGCUGCAUGGCUGUCGUCAGCUCGUGUCGUGAGAUGUUGGGUUAAGUCCCGCAACGAGCGCAACCCUUGUCAUUAGUUGCUACGCAAGAGCACUCUAAUGAGACUGCCGGUGACAAACCGGAGGAAGGUGGGGAUGACGUCAAGUCCUCAUGGCCCUUAUGGGUAGGGCUUCACACGUCAUACAAUGGUCGGGACAGAGGGUCGCCAACCCGCGAGGGGGAGCCAAUCUCAGAAACCCGAUCGUAGUCCGGAUCGCAGUCUGCAACUCGACUGCGUGAAGUCGGAAUCGCUAGUAAUCGCGGAUCAGAAUGUCGCGGUGAAUACGUUCCCGGGUCUUGUACACACCGCCCGUCACACCAUGGGAGUGGGUUUCACCAGAAGUAGGUAGCCUAACCGCAAGGAGGGCGCUUACCACGGUGGGAUUCAUGACUGGGGUGAAGUCGUAACAAGGUAACCG
rnacentral:rRNA from 1 species